rnacentral:lncRNA from 1 species
UCCCUUUUUACAUGCUAGGCUUGCUAUAGAAGGAGCAUUUAUCUCUUGAUCUCUCACGAUCAUGAGGUUUUCUACUUGUAUUUCUCCCACUAUUUUAUGUGACAAGAUCCUAUGAUUGAGAGCAAUUUAAGGAUUUUAUUUAUUGCUUUUUUAUUCAAUAAAUUACUUAUAACUUGACUUUUUGUUAGUUUUUAUGUGACAAGAUCCUAUGAUUGAGAGCAAUUUAAGGAUUUUAUUUAUUGCUUUUUUAUUCAAUAAAUUACUUAUAACUUGACUUUUUG